rnacentral:rRNA from 1 species
ACAUAGCCCUAGAAACAAUCUAAGGUGUAACCUGCCCAGUGAUCUUUAAUUAAUAAGAUAAAAUCUUUUAAAAAAGAUUAAAAGGACGCGGUAACCUUGACCGUGGUAAUGUAGCAUAAUCACUCGCCAUUUAAUUGGUGGAUAGUAUGAAUGGUUGAACGAAUAUUCCACUGUCUUAGAGAGAACUAAUUUAAAUUGAAAUAGUAGUUAAGAUGCUAUUUUAAACUGUAAGACGAAAAGACCCUAUAGAGCUUAACUAUAAUCUCUAUACCAAAAACGAAUAAUUAUUCUCUAAUUAUAGAGAUUGGUAGUUUAGUUGGGGCGACUAUCUUCUAUAAAUAACGAAGAUAAGCAAUGUUAAUAAAUAACUUAUUGUAUAAUAAAAUAAUUUAACAAUUAUAAAAAUAGGCUAUAUUGACCCGUUAAAACACAAUAAAAUGUUUAACGAUCAAUUAAUAAAAGCUACCUUAGGGAUAACAGGAUAAUUUCAUUUUAGAGUUCCCAUCGAAAAUGAAGUUUGUCACCUCUAUGUUGAAUUAAGAUAUCCUGAUAAUGCAGCAGUUAUCAAAGGUAGGUCUGUUCGACCUUUAAAAUCUUACAUGAUUUGAGGUUCAUUC